AACGAACGCUGGCGGCGUGUUUAAGACAUGCAAGUCGCACGGGAUAAGACAUGUAGUAAUACUUGUUUUAUUUAGUGGCGCACGGGUGAGUAACACGUGAAUUACAUGCCCUAUAGUGGGGAAUAGCCCAGGGAAACGUGGAUUAAUACCCCUUGGUACCGAAAGACUAAAGGUGGCCGCAAGGCUGUCGCUAUAGGAUUGGUUCGCGCCCUAUCAGCUUGUUGGUGAGGUAACGGCUCACCAAGGCAAUGACGGGUACCUGGUCUGAGAGGACGAUCAGGCACACUGGAACUGAGACACGGUCCAGACACCUACGGGUGGCAGCAGUCGAGAAUAAUUCACAAUGGGGGCAACCCUGAUGGUGCAACGCCGCGUGGAGGAUGACGGUCUUCGGAUUGUAAACUCCUGUCAUCUGGGAGAAAGACCUGACGGUAAAUAGCCGGCAGGGUUGAUAGUACCAGAAGAGGAAGGGACGGCUAACUUCGUGCCAGCCGCCGCGGUAA
rnacentral:rRNA from 1 species